AUCUGGAAGCCUCUAUCUAGAAAUCUCCUUCACUCCCACAGACGACUACAUCUUCAACUGCGGCUCUUCCUCUAACGCCACCUUCUUCAACUACUUCUUCAUCGGAGACUUCAAUUCGGGGUCGGGUUUUGUCUCCACAGGCUGCAGAGCUAAUAGUUAUUGACCGUCUUUCUAGGACUGCACGUCAUGUGCUCAAAAGGGAUUAACUUUAGUUUAGGAUCAAAGUCUCUCAUGCCUUUUGAUUUCCAGAAGCCUCCAUCAACAUCACUCUUUCCUCUUGGCCGACAUCGAAAUCGCCCAUCAACAUCAACAUCAACAUCGCUAAAAGCUUGAAUUGUCGUGCAUCAAUUUGCCAACCACAGUUUCAAAUUGGAUUGAAGCUUGAGCUUCAACCAGUUGCGAUAAAGAAAUUGGGAAACUCAGCUGUAAGGUUUGGAAAUUGAUGUAUCAGUAUUAUUCCAAUACUUCCACUGAUAUAAUAGUACAUCUUAUAGUCACAUUAUGAUUCUUUGUAUACCUGUUAACAAUAAAGAGGAUAAUGUCUGUAUUUCGCACUGCAAAAGCAAACAAAAGUUCUGUUUCUCUUGGAAUGAGUUAACAAAUCCAACUAGGCUAUACCAUAUCUCUUGCUUUAGAAUUGAUCUGCUGGCAGUUUUAUUCCGCAGGAGAACAAAAAAAUAACAAAAGCAGGUGCUUAAAACCUCUUGAAGGGUUUUCUUUAUGGUCUGAAUGAUAAGGGAAUAAUACCUAUUUAUGUGCCAUGGUUGGGUUUUUUGAAGUCUAAAUUUUGGAACAUUAUGUCAAACCUGUGGGUUUGCACAGACCCAACAUUAAUUUAUGCAGUGAAUAAUAGAUGAACUCAUUAGAUGAACCAUGCCAUUAAUGUCAGCACAUAGAAGUUGAUUUGAGUAAGCCACCUAUCACCAUCCAACAUUAAGUUCAUGUAGUUCUAAGUUAAUUGGUUUCUGAGUUCUUAAUUAGAAUAAAAAUUUCCUAAAAUAUAUAAACCAGAUUCUGGAGUCAAAGGCUAACCAUCAGUAUUAUCUUUGGUUGAGUCCUUGACUGGGACAACAAAGUGGAUUAUGGUGCAAAUAGAUAAUCAGGAUAUUAACCAAACAGCAAAAAAUCUGAACUUCCAAACUUUCCAUAAUUCAUUCCAUUCAUGUCUCCCUUAGUGAGUUUCCUCAAACUAUUAUGUUUCUAUGAUUAAUAAAAGUUAACCUCUAAUGUAAUAAUGCAAUUCUUUCUAAUUCUUUAAAUGUUUUGCAGGACUGCACACAUGACUCCAUGCACUCCAAACAAAGAAAGUCGGUUAACUGCUCUUCGUCUUUGUUUACACUCUAUCCUCAUUCCCUCACGGUCUAAGCUUACCAGUUUUAUACACAGGCCCACCCGCAUCCAUUCACCUCUCUUUGCUUGCUUGGAAAAAUGACAGUCAGCCCUAUGGAAACGCUGAAUCGAAGUCCCCCUUUGAAACAACAACACAUUGUUUCCCUCUCAGAUCAUAAUAAUUCACCCAGGACUGGCUUGACAGUAUGAAAAGGUGUGGUCCUUGGAACAUCAUAUAUAUAGCUCCAAAAUAUGUAGAAUUGUCAAGCUUGGAACACCAUAGCAUCAUAGCUCCAAAAUCUUCAGUUGGACUGUGUUCAAGCCACAUCUAGCAAUCGAGUUAAAGUUGAUUAUGAAGGAACAAUUACUUUUUCAUCAGCUACCUGUAUUCAAGCCAACAUCCAUCAAAAGCUUCUCACACACCAAGCCAAAUUUCUCCACCAGAGUCAAAAAGUUCAAAUCAAACCACAUCUGUACAUUUUGACGAAAACAAUUAGUCUUCAACGAUAUUCUCAUGUAUAAAAACAAUUACUAGAUGAAUAAACUUCAGUUAGUCCAAUCA